AGGAGGAGGGGAGGAGCUGGGAGGGUGGUGGCCGGCGGGUCCAAAGGAGAAGAAGAAGCUCGGCUGGUUCAAGAAGGAACAGGGGAGAGGGAUUGUUAUGAAGGAAAUGCUUUGUUUUCUCUUUUGAAAACAGAGCAUGUUCUAAUAUUUUCUUUUUCUUUUUGUUUUUUUUAAGAGUUUUAUUUUAAGAGCAUGUGUUUUGGGGUUUUUAGUUUUAUUUAUGCUAAAGUU
rnacentral:lncRNA from 1 species